CAGCCGUAAACUAUGCGCGUUAGGUGUAUCGGUGACCACGAGUUACCGAGGUGCCGAAGGGAAACCGUGAAACGUGCCGCCCGGGAAGUACGGUCGCAAGGCUGAAACUUAAAGGAAUUGGCGGGGGAGCACCACAACAGGUGGAGCCUGCGGUUUAAUUGGAUUCAACACCGUAAAACUCACCAGGGAAGACUGUUACAUGAAGGCCGAGAUGAAGACUCUGCUAGAUUUUCAGAGAGGAGGUGCAUGGCGUC
rnacentral:rRNA from 1 species